AUCGAACGCUGGCGGCAGGCCUAACACAUGCAAGUCGAGCGGAUGAAGGGAGCUUGCUCCUGGAUUCAGCGGUGGACGGGUGAGUAAUGCCUAGGAAUCUGCCUGGUAGUGGGGGAUAACGUCCGGAAACGGGCGCUAAUACCGCAUACGUCCUGAGGGAGAAAGUGGGGGAUCUUCGGACCUCACGCUAUCAGAUGAGCCUAGGUCGGAUUAGCUAGUUGGUGGGGUAAAGGCCUACCAAGGCGGGGAUCCGUAACUGGUCCGAGAGGAUGAACAGACACACUGGAACUGAGACACGGUCCAGACUCCUAGGGGGGGCAACAGUGGGGAAUAUUGGACAAUGGGCGAAAGCCUGAUCCAGCAAUGCCGGGUGUGUGAAGAUGGUCUUCGGAUGGUAAAGCACUUUAAGUUGGGAGGAAGGAAAGUAAGUUAAUACCUUGCUGUAUUGACGGUACCGGGAGAAUAAGCACCGGCUAACUUCGUG
rnacentral:rRNA from 1 species